GACGAACCGUCCGAACGUUAUUCGGAAUCACUGGGCUUAAAGGGUGCGUAGGCGGCGCGGAAAGUUGGGUGUGAAAUACCUCGGCUCAACCGAGGAACUGCGCCCAAAACUACCGUGCUCGAGGGAGAUAGAGGUGAGCGGAACUUAGGGUGGAGCGGUGAAAUGCGUUGAUAUCCUAAGGAACACCGGUGGCGAAAGCGGCUCACUGGAUCUCUUCUGACGCUGAGGCACGAAAGCUAGGGGAGCGAACGGG
rnacentral:rRNA from 1 species